AAAACCACUCAGGUUAUCUUUUCUAAAAAGGGUAAUUGUAGAAUCACAAUCAAUGAUUAAUAUUAUAAUUAAGCAAAGAUGGAAAAGAUUAGUUAUCUAAAGUUUCAAAUUGAACUAGCUUUCAGGGUAUCGUAUAGUCAAAUACUGCUGUGUUCGCAGAGCAAAUUCAAUUGUUAGUGUUAACUACAAUGUGGCUCACUAAGUUGGCUUUCACGAGUGUUGGUCUGUUUCAACCCGUUUUAGCGCAAAAUAUUUUUACCCAGGUAAAUGAAGUACGCUAUGAAGUCCAC